rnacentral:lncRNA from 1 species
GUUCAUUAAUUAUACAAGAGACUCCUUUUUAAUUAAAAAUUCAAUUCCCAUGGGAAUUGAAAAAAAAAAUAAAAAAAUUUUCCCUACCCCGGCCGGCUCCCCAAGUGCUACCUCUACUUCAAGUAGAAGUACUUCUACUAUGCAGUAAAAGUACUUCUACUUAAAGUAGAGGUAGCACUCGGAGAGCCAGCCGGGGUAGCGGGGCAACGAGAAGACCAACCUUGCAAAUGCUAAACAAUGCAAAUUGCUAAGUCGAUCUUCUCUUGAGAGCAGCCACGCGCAUACCUAGCAAAUGUAAACAACAAGCAUUAGUAACAAAUACUCGGCAUGCAAAUUUUGAAUCCCAUGGCCGAAAUGACAAGUGCCCCCCACUGAUUCCUACCAACUGCCUACCUGCCUCAAUCCUAAGCUGUCUGCCUCGGUCCUAAGCUGUCUGCCUCGUUCCUAAGCUACCUGCAUUCCAUUCGUAACUUCCGCUUUCCUCACCAUCACACAGACACUCACAACUGCCCAACCUGCCACCAGCCCGAACUGCCCACCCUUAAAACUGAAGGAAUUAAAAUUUUGGUAAAGUAUACAUAAUUAAUUUAAUUAAUCGGAUAUUUUAGGCCAAACGUAAACAGAUAAAUUGAGAAAGACCGCGUAUACAAACAGGUGAGUUUCUUGCUUGCUCUUAAUAUACAUGUAAUUUACAUAGAAAAAUAUACGAAACCUCGAAAUCCGGAUUUUUCGGUUUUUCCUUCUAUAUUACUUUACUAGCAGACUAUAAUUUUAGUUUAAAUAACGAAACUGAAUAGAUUUUGCUGACGUUAGGAAAUUAGUCCUUUUGUUCCGAAAGAUAUUUUCUUUUUAAAUAUGCUCUCAAAAUUUUAAUUCCUUUAGUUUAGCCUAACCCCAUGCAUCCUACACACACGGCGCACACUCUCGCACUCCAUACAUUUAGCUAACAAAUUACGUUAUAAACAAAAAAGCGAAAUAAAAAGAUAAAUUACGUUAUCACUAGCUAUCCUAUAACCCACUUAGACUGAGUUUUGGAUUCUGGUUCGAAACGUAAAAUCUUAACUGAAAGGGUCUGGGCUUGAGUUUUGUUAACUGGUCCGAAAUAAAUAUAUACAAACCUUAAACUUACCUAAACCAAAGGCUCGAUUAAAUAAGCAUGAGAAUGCAUAGAAUCAUUUUAAAAACUUUUUCAUGAGAAUUUAAAAUCCAAAUGAAAAUUACAAUAUCGCUAGUUUAGUGAGCAUAUAGUAUUGUUUCUUUAUAUAGUUCAAACAGAUCGAAACAGACUUAACCGCAAUUCUCAUACUCAUUUAACCGGAACGCCUUGAUGACAUUUGCAUGGCACGUCGCAGCUGCUCUCAAACCACUUCCGUAAUUUGCUUUAGCGCAGACAAACAAGAUACUUAUCAUAUAAUCAAAGAGGAUUCAUUCAUUAUAAAGUCAAAUUUCCACUAUGAAAUCAACAUCAACAUGAAAACAAAGCAUAUAUAUUCC